rnacentral:rRNA from 1 species
GUCUCAAAUCAGGUAGGAUCACCCGCUGAACUUAAGCAUAUCAAUAAGCGGAGGAAAAGAAACCAACAGGGAUUGCCCUAGUAACGGCGAGUGAAGCGGGAAGAGCUCAUGUUGUAAAUCUCCAGCUUGCUGGCGAAUUGUAGUCUAAAGGUGCGUGCUCAGUCGUGGUCCCGGGCUAAGUCUGUUGGAAAACAGCAUCAUGGACGGUGACAAUCCGGUUCUUGCCUGGGGUCCCGCGGCGUACGAGCCGUUUCCGACGAGUCGUGUUGCUUGGGAUUGCAGCACUAAGUGGGUGGUAAAUUCCAUCUAAAGCUAAAUAUUGGUGGGAGACCGAUAGCGAACAAGUACCGUGAGGGAAAGAUGAAAAGACUUUUGAAAAGAGAGUAAAAUAGUACCUGAAACUGCUGAAAGGGAAGCGAUUGAAGUCAGUGUUGCUCCUGGUCUUUUUGCCGUCGCCCCCGUGGGGGUUGCGGCGUGGGGCCUGGAGCGUUUCAACAUGCGUUCUGUUCCGCGGGAAAUGUUCAGUGUGCUGGAACCUUCGGGGAAACGCACUGUUCUUGUCGUGGUUAGGACGGAGGACCUUUGCUCCUUUGACUGCGCGUUCCUCUCUCGGGUAUGCUGGUGUCUACUGCUUGCAGUUUUCAUUUUCAUGCUUGCGACUGUGCGUGUUAUUCAUGAGCGAACAUGAUGUUGAAGAAAUGGCUUUAAUUACCCCGUCUUGAAACACGGACCAAGGAGUCUGACAUGUGUGCGAGUCAACGGGCGAGUAAACCCGUAAGGCGCAAGGAAGCUGAUUGGCGUGAUCCCCCCGAGGGGUGCAACGCCGACCGACCUCGAUCUUCUGAGAAGGGUUUGAGUGUGAGCAUACCUGUCGGGACCCGAAAGAUGGUGAACUAUGCCUGAGCGGGGCGAAGCCAGAGGAAACUCUGGUGGAGGCUCGCAGCGGUUCUGACGUGCAAAUCGAUCGUCAAAUUUGGGUACAGGGG